rnacentral:tRNA from 2 species
CGGCGAGUAGCGCAGCUUGGUAGCGCAUCUGGUUUGGGACCAGAGGGUCGGAGGUUCGAAUCCUCUCUCGCCGACCA